UCAGAAAAAAAGAGUAACUCUUUAUCUUUAAUUCCCAAAAUUAAUAUUUUUUUAAACUAUUUCCUGA
rnacentral:tRNA from 1 species